UACGUAGGGUGCAAGCGUUAAUCGGAAUCACUGGGCUUAAAGCGUGUGUAGGCGGAUCUGUAAGUACCUUGUGAAAUCCCACGGCUCAACCGUGGAACUGCUUGGUAUACUGCGGGUCUUGAGCCACCUAGGGGCAAGUGGAACAAACGGUGGAGCGGUGAAAUGCGUAGAUAUCGUUUGGAACGCCAAUGGUGAAAACAACUUGCUGGGGGUGUGCUGACGCUGAGACACGAAAGCCAGGGGAGCAAACGGG
rnacentral:rRNA from 1 species